AUGGGUUUUGUGAAGCUAAACAUUGAUGCUUCCUUUGACCAUGAUCUGCUUAGAGGCACGGCGGGGGCAGUCCUGAGAGAUGACAAAGGAAGGUUCAUUGUUGGCGGAAGUUGGCGACUUGACUGGUGUGCGGAUGUUCUAACGGCAGAAGCAUUGGCACUGAGGUUUGGCCUUACCCUAGCACAGAAGGCGGGGUGCAACCGCCUUAUUGUUAACUCUGAUAAUACGGAAGUGAUUGACACGAUGAAGAAUGGAGGACAAUCGGCGGGAGCGGCGACGCCAGUUUUCGAUGAUUGCUAUUUUAUGGCUUGCGAUUUUACUAUUACUAGAUCUGAACAUUGUAAUAGGGAAGUAAAUAAAGUUGCUCAUGAAAUUGCUAGGCUAGCGAAAUAUUCAGCGACUAAGGAUUGGUUUGAGGAGCCCAUGGUUGAUAUUGUAUCUCUUCUUAUUGAUGAUGUAACUGUUAUUUCUAAUCAAUAA
rnacentral:rRNA from 1 species